AUCUCUGUAGUUUAGUGGUAGAAUGCUCUCUGUUCCUUAUUAAUCAGGUCGGAGACGUCUGGAGUUCGAUUCUCCGCAGAGGUG